rnacentral:rRNA from 1 species
UCCGAAGGUGACAAGCGUUGUCCGGAUUUACUGGGCGUAAAGAGCGCGCAGGCGGUCGUUCAAGUCGAGUGUGAAAGCCCCCGGCUCAACUGGGGAGGGUCACUCGAUACUGAUCGACUCGAAGGCAGGAGAGGGAAGUGGAAUUCCCGGUGUAGUGGUGAAAUGCGUAGAUAUCGGGAGGAACACCAGUGGCGAAGGCGACUUCCUGGCCUGUUCUUGACGCUGAGGCGCGAAAGCUAGGGGAGCAAACGGG